UACGUAGGCAGCGAGCGUUGUUCGGAGUUACUGGGCGUAAAGGGUGUGUAGGCGGUUUCUAAGUUUGGUGUGAAAUCCCCCGGCUCAACCGGGGAAUUGCGCCUGAUACUGGCGGCUAGAGAUCGAUAGGGUGAGUGGAACUCCAGGUGGAGCGGUGAAAUGCAUAGAUAUGUCACAGAACACCAAUUGCGAAGGCAGCUCGCUGGGACGGUACUGACGCUGAGACGCGAAAGCGUGGGGAGCAAACAGG
rnacentral:rRNA from 1 species